rnacentral:rRNA from 1 species
CCUACGGGAGGCAGCAGUGGGGGAUAUUGCACAAUGGGGGGAACCCUGAUGCAGCGACGCCGCGUGGGUGAAGGAGCGUUUCGGCGCGUAAAGCCCUAUCGGCAGGGGAGAAGCUGACGGUACCUGGCCAAGAAGCCCCGGCUAACUCCGUGCCAGCAGCCGCGGUAAUACGGAGGGGGCAAGCGUUAUCCGGAUUUACUGGGUGUAAAGGGGGCGCAGGCGGCAAUGCAAGCCAGGAGUGAAAGCCCGGGGCCCAACCCCGGGACGGCUCUUGGAACUGCAUGGCUGGAGUACAGGAGGGGCAGGCGGAAUGCGUAGUGUAGCGGUGAAAUGCGUAGAUAUUAGGAGGAACACCGGUGGCGAAGGCGGCCUGCUGGACUGUGACUGACGUUGAGGCCCGAAGGCGUGGGGAGCAAACAGGAUUAGAUACCCGAGUAGUC